rnacentral:lncRNA from 1 species
AAGAGACGGAGGAAGAAAAGGGGAUUGGGAAUGGAGGUACCUCAGCGGAGUGGGCGUAACGCCAGAGGGCAAGCUUCCAUCCGGUGCCCGAGACCGGCACGUAGUGGAGCUCGUCGGCCGCGCAGACGGCGGGCUUCUUGUCAUCCUUCACGGCCGAGGCGGCCUCCAGCGAAGCGGAGAGCAGCCUGGGGGGAGGAACGGACUGGGCCGAUACGCGGCUCGCCCGCCUCUCGUCCCGCCGCUGCCCCGGGGGGGAUCGGUGUGUGGUAGGAGGCUGUGGCCGCCGCCGCCGCCGCCAGAGUAGAGCGGACGUCGGCGGGUCGGAGGAGGCGCAUCAUCGCCUCUGAUGGCCUUCGCCUCCGGCUUCUAUUUCUUGUUUACUUUCUUUUUCUUUCUUUAUCUGCUUUUCUUGGGAAAAUACGGCUGUUCUUCCCCACGGUUUUAUCUUCGCCAUCCCUUUCCCUCCGAAUGGAAGUGCUUCUCGGCGAUAGCAGGGCUUUUGUAAAAAA